AGGGUUCGAUUAUGGCUCAGGACGAACGCUGGCGGCGCGCCUAACACAUGCAAGUCGAACGAGCGAGAGAGAGCUUGCUUUCUCGAGCGAGUGGCGAACGGGUGAGUAACGCGUGAGGAACCUGCCUCAAAGAGGGGGACAACAGUUGGAAACGACUGCUAAUACCGCAUAAGCCCACGGGUCGGCAUCGACCAGAGGGAAAAGGAGCAAUCCGCUUUGAGAUGGCCUCGCGUCCGAUUAGCUAGUUGGUGAGGUAACGGCCCACCAAGGCAACGAUCGGUAGCCGGACUGAGAGGUUGAACGGCCACAUUGGGACUGAGACACGGCCCAG
rnacentral:rRNA from 1 species